rnacentral:rRNA from 1 species
UACGAAGGUGGCAAGCGUUGUUCGGAAUUACUGGGCGUAAAGCGCACGUAGGCGGAUUGCUAAGUCAGGGGUGAAAUCCCGGGGCUCAACCUCGGAACUGCCUUUGAUACUGACAAUCUCGAGUCCGAUAGAGGUGGGUGGAAUUCCUAGUGUAGAGGUGAAAUUCGUAGAUAUUAGGAAGAACACCGGUGGCGAAGGCGGCCCACUGGAUCGGUACUGACGCUGAGGUGCGAAAGCGUGGGGAGCAAACAGG